rnacentral:lncRNA from 1 species
ACAAACAUACCUUUACUAGUGAGGCAGCCCAACAAUCCGUCGACUGCUCACCCCCUAUAAAGAGUUUACGAGAUUUUACAAGUAUUCUACCAGUAGCCAUUACAAUGUUUGAAAUGAGGACAUUCCUUUCCUAAAGGGUCUUCCCCCCUAAAGACUUAACAAGUAUUUUUGAAAGUGUCACCACAAGCCAUUACAUUGUUUGAAAA